rnacentral:rRNA from 1 species
CCAUUCCGCGUGAGUGAAGAAGGCCUUCGGGUUGUAAAGCUCUUUCAGCUGGAACGAAACGGUUCGCUCUAACAUAGCGGGCUAAUGACGGUACCAGCAGAAGAAGCACCGGCUAACUACGUGCCAGCAGCCGCGGUAAUACGUAGGGUGCGAGCGUUAAUCGGAAUUACUGGGCGUAAAGCGUGCGCAGGCGAUUGUUAAGCAAGAUGUGAAAUCCCCGGGCUUAACCUGGGAAUGGCAUUUUGAACUGGCAGUCUAGAGUGCGUCAGAGGGGGGUGGAAUUCCACGUGUAGCAGUGAAAUGCGUAGAGAUGUGGAGGAACACCGAUGGCGAAGGCAGCCCCCUGGGAUGACACUGACGCUCAUGUACGAAAGCGUGGGUAGCAAACAGGAUUAGAUACCCUGGUAGUCCACGCCCUAAACGAUGUCAACUGGUUGUCGGGGGAGUGAAAUCCCUUAGUAACGAAGCUAACGCGUGAAGUUGACCGCCUGGGGAGUACGGUCGCAAGAUUA